GUUACUAGAAAAUCUAUUGAGAUAACUAGUAAAUGGAUCAGAAUCUAAAAAUAUGCUCAGAAAAAAUACUUUCAGUUCCUCUGACACAAAAUACCACGUGGCAAUUGUAGAAACUCAUCACGCCUUAAUUUUAAUAAAAAUAAAAUAAAAUAACUGAAGACUAUAAGAUGAAUGUAGUUGAUUGAAUUACAAAUUGAGUAUGGGGAAUUAACUAGAACUCUUAUUACUAAUAACAGAUUUGCAAACAAAUUAAUGGAAAAACAUGUUCUUAAAUAUUAUUCAUUUGUGUAUUUCAAUGAAAUCAAUAUGUCUCGGAGAAUGAUUAGAAAGGCUAAGGAUCAUGUUAUUAUCGCUUAUCUUCGAUAUAAUUGAACCAUAUAUUAGACAUAAACUGUCCGAGAGAAAAUUGAUGAGUAUACAACCAUUUAAAUUAUAAAAAUACUGCUUUUUAUUCAUUAAUACUUAGAACACAAUAUUGAUUCAAAUAAAUAGUUUUCUAUCGUUUUCUAUCUACAAUCAAAUCAUAGGAUUUUCCAGGUUUUCCCUUACUAAAUAUUUCACAAAUAUACAUAACAUCACACAUAACAUAAUUUUAAUGUUCUCUGUACAUACAAGGUAGACCAGAAAUAUGUAUGUGAAUUUUUAAAGCUGAUACAAUAAGAAAGGUAAUGAAUGUACAUAUUUCUAAGAAAGUGAAGAAAAAGGGAAAAUAUUUAUGUUGUUUGAGUUGUUUAAGUUAGAACAGAAGUUAAUCGAUAUUAUCUAGGAAUCUAGGAAUAAUAGGUAACUAGAGGUUACUUUACUAAGAAGCUAGAAAAUACUUAUUCUUCAAACUUGAUAGUGGUGAAAGUCUCGAACCAUUGAAAAACAUUUAGUACAAUUCAGAUAUUACGCAAAAUUUCAAGUAGAUGUGAGGAAACAUUAAAUAGACCGCUAUAUUUAAUGAGGUGGAUAAAAACCAACUUUAUAAAGGCUAAUAUUGCUGUUUACAACUCAGUGUACUCACCAGUUCUGACUUUUAACUACAAUACUGACAAAAGUGCUUGUAUGCAAAGUACACGGAAUGGAAAUAAAGAAAUCAGAAGUCCUAUUAGUAAUAUGAAUUGACAAAAUACGAGAUAAACAUAUAUGGAUGAAAUACUAGAAAGAAUCAUUACUACAAAAUUGAAAUGCUACGACCACCUAAGACGGAUAAAGAAUGAGAAGAUAAUUUGAGAGUCAAGAUGAUAUGCGAAAAAGCUCAGAGAAAAACCUCCAACAAUAUGGAAUGUCUCUAUAGAAAAAACAUCGCGCAGAAAAGGGGUUGAAGAAAACGAAAGUGGUGACCAUUUCAUUUUCUAACAAUAACUGAUAUAAAAACAUAUUUUUCUAACGUAAGAAAUGUGCUCUCGUAACAAUUUAUACCUAUUACUGUUUUGCUUUAUUUAAACUCAAAGGUAUACAUCAAUAAUAUUUCCGUAAUCCAUCAAAUUCAUAAUAAAAAUUAAUAGUGAACGGGCACAGAUCAAUAAGUGAGCUUUCUAAUUUGAAAUGCGAUUCUGCUCAUAUCAACAAUCUUUUGUUUCUUCCUCAGAAAUUUGGUCUAGAUGUGUAAUUUAGUGAAUGUUUAACAACAAUUGUUUGUAGACAACCUCAUAUCUUAAGACAAAAACGGAAGUUAGUUUUGUAUGAAAAUUCUACACUAAUAAUUUCAAAGGUGAAAAAGUGCACCAAGGAUCACGGAAAAUGUAGAAUGUUCAAUUAUAGUUUCGAUCCAAAAUCAACUGUAGACAUCACACAUAGCUCAGUAUUCUGAUAAUCAUUUGAGUAUGAAUAGUUUUUCUAGAGCUGGGUGCCCUGUUUGCUCAUAGUUGACGACAAACGCUAACGUAUGACAAAUUCGCUGAAUUUUUUGGAGUUGUUCAAUUAGAAUAUGGACAUUUUUGAGCCAUUUCGUGAACCUAGAUUGGCCACAACACACUUGAGAUCAAAUAGUAAAAAGGACAAUCCCAAUGUGAUAUCAUGUUAAUACUUUCUUGUGGUGGCUCAUUAUCGAAACUUCACCGAAAAUUUGAUUGGGUAUAAAUACAUUACAAUUUGAAGAAUAUUGAUUGAACAUGUUCACAAGAGAUUAAAGUUCAAAAUAAAUCAAUAAAUAAUCUGACGGGUGGUGGUAUAUUUGGAUUCAUUGGAAAAAUUUCGAUAGAACAAGGAAAGUAAACAAAAAUCCAAAAUCAAAAUAUUUUGAUAAAGAUAGAAAUAGGUCGAAAGGUCAAGCGGCAUUUAUAUAAGAUGGAUAUUUCUAGAGCAGCAUCCUAUUCCUAGCAAUCAUUGAAAAUAAUUUGAUUCCAUUUCAUCCAUUACCUUUUUUUAGUAUUAGAAUCUUAACAAAACCAUACCAACAAAAUGAUUAUAUAUAUAAAUAAC